AUUGAACGCUGGCGGCGUGCCUAACACAUGCAAGUCGAGCGGUAACAGGUGUAGCAAUACAUGCUGACGAGCGGCGAACGGGUGAGUAAUGCUUUGGAAUCUUCCCAGUAGUGGGGAAUAACCAGUCGAAAGAUUGGCUAAUACCGCAUACGUCUGUAAAGGGAAAGCGGGGGCUCGUAAGACCUCGCGCUAUUGGAUGAGCCAAAGUCGGAUUAGCUAGUGGUGGGGUAAUGGCCUACCAAGGCGACAAUCCGUAGCUGGUCUGAGAGGACGACCAGCCACACCGGAACUGAGACACGGUCCGGACUCCUACGGGAGGCAGCAGUGGGGAAUAUUGGACAAUGGGGGAAACCCUGAUCCAGCGACGCCGCGUGUGUGAAGAAGGCCUGCGGGUUGUAAAGCACUUUUAGUGGGGACAAAAGCUACGGAUUAAUACUCUGUGGUCUUGAUUUAACCCAAAGAAAAGCACCGGCUAACUCUGUGCCAGCAG
rnacentral:rRNA from 1 species